rnacentral:rRNA from 1 species
GAUGAACGCUGGCGGCGUGCUUAACACAUGCAAGUCGAACGGAAAGGCCAGUGCUUGCACUGGUACUCGAGUGGCGAACGGGUGAGUAACACGUGGGUGAUCUGCCCUGCACUUCGGGAUAAGCCUGGGAAACUGGGUCUAAUACCGGAUAGGACAAUGGUUUGGAUGCCGUUGUGGAAAGUUUUUUCGGUGUGGGAUGAGCUCGCGGCCUAUCAGCUUGUUGGUGGGGUAAUGGCCUACCAAGGCGUCGACGGGUAGCCGGCCUGAGAGGGUGUACGGCCACAUUGGGACUGAGAUACGGCCCAGACUCCUACGGGAGGCAGCAGUGGGGAAGAUUGCACAAUGGGCGCAAGCCUGAUGCAGCGACGCCGCGUGGGGGAUGACGGCCUUCGGGUUGUAAACUCCUUUCGCUAGGGACGAAGCGUAUUUGUGACGGUACCUGGAGAAGAAGCACCGGCUAACUACGUG